GAGCAGCCCCGGCUCGCAGCGCCGCCCUCCCCGCUCCCCGCAGCCCCUCCGCCUCCCCCGGCCGCUGCCGCACGAUCCCAAGGGCUCCUCUCGCUGCUCCCCGGGGCUCUGAAUAGCAGACACAGCGGGAAAAACUGUAACCAAGCCAAAGGCUAGAUCCAAAAAGGAACCAGAAAAUCUUUAAGCAAAUCAGAAUGUGAGCUCUGAAAAUGACACCUUAACCUGGUGCAGGAUCAAAAGCAGCCCCUCUUUUAUGGAGUAUGUGGUUUUUUAAAAAUUUCUUCUGAAAAAAAAGAAAUGCAGAACAACCUUUUUGCUGGGUCACUGGAGGACUGUGUGACCAUGACGGCCAUGGCAAAUGGAAUAGUCCAUCAUGUCUUUAAUGAAAACUUAACCAUUUUUAUAUGAAGCCAGUAAAGAGAGCAUUGCCUUUGUGGUGCUGCAUCUGAAUCCCACUUCAUCCUCAGGCCUCUUCUAUGACCUCAGAAGCUCCCUGAUAAGCCUUGGCCAAAGCAUCUGAACAGUAAAUGAUCCCUUGACCAUACUAGUUGAUCUGAGAGGUAUUUAUUCCCUCAUGGACUUUAGCUUGCAUGCUAAAGAUGCUAACAAGCAGAAAUAUCAGUUGCCCAACCUAGGUGGGAAACAAAGGAUAAGCAUUUACCAUUUGUACCUUUGGUAAAACGUUUUCCUGAAUCAUAGCCUGAAUAGAGUGGCACUAUUGGGAACUGCAGUUUGAGAGAAACUCAUAUCAUCACUGCACUUUGGGAGAAAAAAAGUGCAGUAGUUAUUAACUUGGGCUGUGGCCAGGAUGGAAACUUACUGAUGACCAGAGUUAAUCAUCUUGCAACCCUAUAAACAGCAGAGAGGCUCUUUGAGCUUUUUUGGACUGCAGCAGACUGGAUGAGCACCUCCCUCUGAGUGGGAUGCCUCUUGGAGCUCACAAACGCUCAGUUUGCAGUAUUCAACAAACUGUCUCUGAAGAUGAGCCCUAGGCUGAUAUCCCUGCCACAUCUUCAUGCUUCAUGAGCUGAAAUCCAUUGCCUGUUGGAAAUGCAAAGGACUUUGGCAUGAGUAUUUCAUUGAAUCUGAGAGGGAAUUUUUUAUAAGUACCUUUAAAAAAAAAGUGUGCAUAUUGCUUUAACUUGUGUGAGUGUGAUUUUUUUAGGAGUGUUACUAUCUCAAAUCUGUAGUUAAGUCAUUGUUACAAUUGUAGUGAACCCUACCUAUCAAAUUGCUAUGUAAAUGUUACUCAAUAAUUAAGUGCUGCUAAACCCUUUUGCACCCUUAUCUUUGCAUUCAUAUUCUUUGCACCCUUAUCCCCUUUUGCAUUCCCAGCUUCUGUGCAAAUCAUUCCAAAUUGCUUCUAAGUUGAUCAUCCUUUUUAUGCUUUGAUCUGGGUAGUACAUAAUAGAGUGAACCUUGCCAUUGAGCUCUGUAAAGUCACAUUUCCACAAAUUCAUGUGAAACUCUGCUUUUGCCAAUACUUUUGACAAUGUUUCUUUAAGCAGCCAAACCACUCAUUCAUGACAGACUUGAAUGGGUUGGUGUGGAAUGGCAGCAGUGGAGUACUGGAGUACACAAGGCACUGUCAGCAUAUAGGACUUCUCUAAAAUAACAUGGAAGGUUUUGUUGUUAUACCUGACCAACCAAGUUGGAUCCUUUUCUUUGAAGUAAAUACUGAUUAAAAGCCUGACACUUUUAUUUAAGAAAAUAAGGAUAUUUCAAAGGGCUCCAUUUGUACUGUAAGUUGAAUAUUAAAGAAGUUGCUGAAAGAAAACUGUGAGGGGGAGGGCAAUUGGGUCUGGCUUUAAAAUGGUAUGUGCAAUACUUAAUGGUUGCCAAAGGGAUACCUUAGUGAGCUUUUGUUGCAAUAAGCCAUAUGUGUGACUGAGUACAAGAUGCUUAUUUAUUUGCUUCCUCCAGAUACUCUCUCCACUGCAGCAGAUACUUGCUAGGAGGGAUACCAUCUCCCAUUGCUCCAGCUGGUUGAGGGGUUUGGACCCUCAGCGCUGCAUUUUGGUAUUCCAGGAGAUGUUGUGUAGCGGUGAAAAGGCCACUUUGCAUCUGCUCUGCUUGUUUGUAAAUAACUGAAUUUAAAGUAAGAGAUAUUCAGAAUAAGGGUGAUGCCUGAAUUGCAUGUUAAGUCCAAGAAAUGUGUUUUCAUUAAUGAACAAAGAGCCUUUAGAUGAGAUGCUCUAAAGAAAGCUCCUUUUAUAAAAUGGAGGGUGCUAGAAAGUGUGUGUCACUGCCACUAUCAACUCAAUAGAGGUUAUGCACUGAUGGAAGGAACAAGGGAGCUGGCAGAAGUCUGUCUCUUGCUGUCAGUUCCAGGCUGCAGGCUUUUAUGUUCAUUUGUAUUGCAAUCAAUAAGGAAUAGCUUAAAUUGGGCUCUGGAAGCUUGAUUUUAUAGUUUGCUAAAUUUCUUUUUUAAAUUUGUUUAAAAUAAAAGAGAAGUUUCUAUGGAAACCUUCCUUUUAUUCAAGAAAAAUAUCUCCCAGUCUUUGUCUCCUCCUCACACAACCAGGGCUGGCUGGAUCUCUGCCAAGAUCCAGCUGCACUCUCCCAAAGCUGCCACUCCAGCUCAGUGCUGGCCAGUGGAACAAACACUUUGCUACCGCACCCAUUGUGCAAUUAAUGCUGCCUCUUCACCUGUAGGUGAUGUUCCCUAUUCACAC